rnacentral:rRNA from 1 species
AGGACGAACGCUGGCGGCGUGCCUAACACAUGCAAGUGGAGCGACGAACCAGGCUUCGGCCUGGGGCAGAGCCGCGAACGGGUGAGUAACACGUGACUAACCUACCCUAGAGUGGGGAAUAACUUCGGGAAACCGAGGCUAAUACCGCAUAACAUCGCAGAGGGAAGCUCUUUGCGAUCAAAGGAGUAAUUCGCUCAAGGAGGGGGUCGCGGCUGAUUAGCUAGUGGUGAGGUAACGGCCCACCAAGGCUAAGAUCAGUA